rnacentral:rRNA from 1 species
UGCCAGACUCCUACGGGAGGCAGCAGUGAGGAAUAUUGGUCAAUGGGCGGAAGCCUGAACCAGCCAAGUCGCGUGAGGGGAUAAGGCCCUACGGGUCGUAAACCUCUUUUGCCGGGGAGCAAGGGCGGGGACGUGUCCCGGCCCGGAGAGUACCCGGAGAAAAAGCAUCGGCUAACUCCGUGCCAGCAGCCGCGGUAAUACGGAGGAUGCGAGCGUUAUCCGGAUUUAUUGGGUUUAAAGGGUGCGCAGGCGGAAUGUCAAGUCAGCGGUAAAAUUGCGGGGCUCAACCCCGUCGUGCCGUUGAAACUGGCGUUCUUGAGUGAGCGAGAAGUAUGCGGAAUGCGUGGUGUAGCGGUGAAAUGCAUAGAUAUCACGCAGAACUCCGAUUGCGAAGGCAGCAUACCGGCGCUCAACUGACGCUCAUGCACGAAAGCGUGGGUAUCGAACAGGAUUAGAUACCCGCGUAC